ensembl:snRNA U6 U6 spliceosomal RNA
GCUCGCUUCGGCAGCACAUAUAAAAUUGGAAUGAUACAGAGAAGAUAAGCAUGGCCCCUGUGUAAGGAUGACAUGCAAAUUCGUGAAGCAUUCCAAAUCUUA